rnacentral:rRNA from 1 species
GACGCUGGCGGUAGGCUUAACACAUGCAAGUCGUGCGAGAAAGUAUCUUCGGAUAUUAGUAGAGCGGCGGACGGGUGAGUAACGCGUAGGAAUCUACCUAGUAGAAGGGGAUAGCCCGGGGAAACUCGGAUUAAUACCGUAUACCUCCUUUGGGAGAAAGAAGGCCUCUCUUUGAAGCUUUCGCUAUUAGAUGAGCCUGCGUAAGAUUAGCUUGUUGGUGAGGUAAAGGCUCACCAAGGCGACGAUCUUUAGCGGGUCUGAGAGGACGAUCCGCCACAUUGGGACUGAGACACGGCCCAGACUCCUACGGGAGGCAGCAGUGGGGAAUAUUGGACAAUGGGCGCAAGCCUGAUCCAGCCAUACCGCGUGUGUGAAGAAGGCCCUAGGGUUGUAAAGCACUUUAAGUUGGGAAGAAAAGUUAUUGGUUAAUACCCAAUGACCGUGACAUUACCUUCAGAAUAAGGACCGGCUAAUUCCGUGCCAGCAGCCGCGGUAAUACGGAAGGUCCAAGCGUUAAUCGGAAUUACUGGGCGUAAAGCGCGCGUAGGUGGUUUAUUAAGUUGGAUGUGAAAUCCCCGGGCUCAACCUGGGAACUGCAUCCAAAACUGAUUCACUAGAGUACGAUAGAGGGAGGUAGAAUUCACAGUGUAGCGGUGGAAUGCGUAGAUAUUGUGAAGAAUACCAAUGGCGAAGGCAGCCUCCUGGAUCUGUACUGACACUGAGGUGCGAAAGCGUGGGUAGCGAACAGGAUUAGAUACCCUGGUAGUCCACGCCGUAAACGAUGUCAACUAGCUGUUGGAAAACUAUGUUUUUCAGUGGCGCAGCUAACGUAAUAAGUUGACCGCCUGGGG